AGAGUUUGAUCAUGGCUCAGAUUGAACGCUGGCGGCAUGCCUAACACAUGCAAGUCGAACGGUAACAGGGGCUUCGGCCCGCUGACGAGUGGCGGACGGGUGAGUAAUACGUAGGAAUCUGCCCAGUAGUGGGGGACAACCCGGGGAAACCCGGGCUAAUACCGCAUACGCCCUACGGGGGAAAGCGGGGGAUCGUAAGACCUCGCGCUAUUGGAUGAGCCUACGUCGGAUUAGCUAGUUGGUAGGGUAAAGGCCUACCAAGGCGACGAUCCGUAGCUGUUCUGAGAGGAAGAUCAGCCACACUGGGACUGAGACACGGCCCAGACUCCUACGGGAGGCAGCAGUGGGGAAUCUUGGACAAUGGGGGAAACCCUGAUCCAGCAAUGCCGCGUGUGUGAAGAAGGCCUUCGGGUUGUAAAGCACUUUCGAUAGGGAAGAAAAGCUUGGCGCUAAUCAGUCAAGUCUUGACGUUACCUAGAGAAGAAGCACCGGCUAACUCUGUGCCAGCAGCCGCGGUAAUACAGAGGGUGCAAGCGUUAAUCGGAGUUACUGGGCGUAAAGGGCGCGUAGGCGGUUCGAUUAGUCGGGUGUGAAAGCCCUGGGCUUAACCUGGGAAUUGCAUUCGAUACUGUCGGGCUAGAGUAUGGUAGAGGAAAGCGGAAUUCCACAUGUAGCGGUGAAAUGCGUAGAUAUGUGGAGGAACAUCAGUGGCGAAGGCGGCUUUCUGGACCAAUACUGACGCUGAGGCGCGAAAGCGUGGGGAGCAAACAGGAUUAGAUACCCUAGUAGUCC
rnacentral:rRNA from 1 species